rnacentral:tRNA from 1 species
UUACACCGAGGAGAUACCCGCGCAAUUCGGGUCAUUUUGAACCUCAAAGCUAGCCUAUAAACUAGACCUUAUAA